rnacentral:rRNA from 1 species
AGAUAUAUGUGGUACAGGAUUAGAUACCCCAUUAAUUCAUAGUUAUAUUAAUGUCUUAGUGUAUUUAACUAAAAUAGUUUGGCAGCAGGUGAAUCUUGUCGGGGGAAGGUGUGGUGUAAAGGAUGAUCCGCCUAAUAAUUUACUUUUGUUAUGUUGGUGUAUAUCUGGUUUAAUAUUAUUGUUUUAGUGGUCAAAAUUGUGUAUGUUUAUUUAAGCCAAGUCUAUGUGCUGCGUAUAAAAGUAUUCAUGCGUUACAUUUAUAAGUGUUUGAUUGUAUAAUUAAGUGAUUUAGGACUCGAAAGUAAUGUUUAAUUA